GGCAGGAAGGGCUUGGCAAGGCAGAGGUCCCCAGGAACUGUGGCCAGAUCCGCCUCACAGGAAAGCUGGUUUCGGCUCAGAGGACCAGCAAAUGCGGUCGUGAAGCCGUUUACAGAAAAGAAGAUGGAAAAUGCUUGCCGUGGUGCUGGCUGAGGUGAGCUGCACCAGCCAAUGACUUGGUCGAUGCCCGGCGGGAGCUCACCGGCCACUGGUCAGGUCAGCAGGAGCCAGGGGUCCACUAGAGGGGACAUCCAGGAACAAGCUGUCUGCUUUGAAUUGGUUUUAGCAAUAGUUAAACGUCAGCAAAAGACUAAAACCCCCUCUUUUGCGGGGCCAGAAAUGCAGAAGGACUGCACUGGGUCUGCCCCUGGCUCGGUCUGUGCACCUUCCACACAGUUCUGCCAGCUUUCAAAUGCUGAUUAAUAAAUACAAGUCCAUAUAAAACCCC